ensembl:lncRNA putative uncharacterized protein ZNRD1-AS1
UGGAGAGUCACCUCUUCUAAGGGAGGUUGCGGCUCAACUUUCAGGCUGGUACUGAGACGUUGAGCACCAAAUUGGUAACCAGUGCUGCGCUUCCAGCAAAUUUUCCCACCAGCACCGAAUCCUGGGAUAUUUAUUCUCUUUUUCACAUCCUACGGGAACCCAAUCGCGGGGGAAUAUCCUCCUGAAAACCGUACUUUGCUGAAUAAUGACUUCUUUGGAUUAGAGAACUACAACUCCCCUGGGUCCUGAGCUGGUAUUUCCCUUUUGCGGCUGCACAGUAGUUAAAAACAAAGCUAAGUGUUCUGGCAUGUAUAGUUCUCGCGUUCCUUGGGUCCCGCUGGCGAGCGUGGGCUUUCUGCAGAGCGCAGCCGGCCUGUGUGCUUUGCGGACGGUUCACCGCGCUUGGAAAGGGAUUGGCCUGGGGUACAUCAUCUAAAGAUCCUAGGAUUGCUGCAGGUCAGCAGUCUCCACUGGAAAAAAAGAUCUUGAAUCUAGGUGGUGUGCACACAACAGCAGCAAGACAGUUGCUAACUCAGAAAUAUCAGGAGGAGUGUGAAAUCCUCUGUAGGGAGCAAGCUGUUUCUCUUGACUACUGGCUUGCCAAAGCAGAGUCUUACU